rnacentral:tRNA from 1 species
UGGGGUGUAGCUCAAUGGUAGAGCAUAUACUUAGCAUGCAUGAGGUCCUGGGUUCGAUCCCCAGUACCUUCA